rnacentral:rRNA from 1 species
AAAGAAAUCAAUUGAGAUUCCCUCAGUAGCGGCGAGCGAACGGGGAUCAGCCCAUUAAGUUAUGUGUGUUUUAGUGGAACGCUCUGGGAAGUGCGAACGUAGAGGGUGAUAUUCCCGUACACGAAAGGGCACACAUAAUGAUGACGAGUAGGGCGAGGCACGUGAAACCUUGUCUGAAUAUGGGGGGACCAUCCUCCAAGGCUAAAUACUCCUGACUGACCGAUAGUGAACCAGUACCGUGAGGGAAAGGCGAAAAGAACCCCUGUGAGGGGAGUGAAAUAGAUCCUGAAACCGCAUGCAUACAAGCAGUGGGAGCACCUUCGUGGUGUGACUGCGUACCUUUUGUAUAAUGGGUCAGCGACUUAUAUUCAGUAGCAAGGUUAACCGUAUAGGGGAGCCGUAGAGAAAUCGAGUCUUAAUAGGGCGUUUAGUUGCUGGGUAUAGACCCGAAACCAGGCGAUCUAUCCAUGAGCAGGUUGAAGGUUGGGUAACACUAACUGGAGGACCGAACCCACUGUCGUUGAAAAGCCAGGGGAUGACUUGUGGAUAGGGGUGAAAGGCUAAUCAAGCCUGGUGAUAGCUGGUUCUCCCCGAAAGCUAUUUAGGUAGCGCCUCGGACGAAUACCAUAGGGGGUAGAGCACUGUUUCGGCUAGGGGGUCAUCCCGACUUACCAAACCGAUGCAAACUCCGAAUACCUAUGAGUACUAUCCGGGAGACAGACUGCGGGUGCUAACGUCCGUAGUCAAGAGGAAAACAAUCCAGACCGCCAGCUAAGGCCCCAAAAUCAUAGUUAAGUGGGAAACGAUGUGGGAAGGCAUAGACAGCUAGGAGGUUGGCUUAGAAGCAGCCACCCUUUAAAGAAAGCGUAAUAGCUCACUAGUCGAGUCGGCCUGCGCGGAAGAUGUAACGGGGCUAAAA